AUUGAACGCUGGCGGCGUGCUUAACACAUGCAAGUCGAGCGGUAACAGGCGUAGCAAUACGUGCUGACGAGCGGCGAACGGGUGCGUAAUACAUCGGAAUCUGCCUAGUAGUGGGGAAUAACCCGGCGAAAGCCGGGCUAAUGCCGCAUACGAUCCACGGAUGAAAGCGGGGGACUUUCGGGCCUCGCGCUAUUAGAUGAGCCGAUGCCGGAUUAGCUAGUUGGGAGGUAACGGCUCACCAAGGCGACGAUCCGUAGCUGGUCUGAGAGGACGGCCAGCCACACUGGGACUGAGACACGGCCCAGACUCCUACGGGAGGCAGCAGUGGGGAAUAUUGGACAAUGGGGGAAACCCUGAUCCAGCGACGCCGCGUGUGUGAAGAAGGCCUGCGGGUUGUAAAG
rnacentral:rRNA from 1 species